AGCGAACGCUGGCGGCAGGCCUAACACAUGCAAGUCGAACGAACCUUUCGGGGUUAGUGGCGGACGGGUGAGUAACACGUGGGAACGUGCCUUUAGGUUCGGAAUAACUCAGGGAAACUUGUGCUAAUACCGAAUGUGCCCUUCGGGGGAAAGAUUUAUCGCCUUUAGAGCGGCCCGCGUCUGAUUAGCUAGUUGGUUGAGGUAAUGGCUCACCAAGGCGACGAUCAGUAGCUGGUCUGAGAGGAUGAUCAGCCACAUUGGGACUGAGACACGGCCCAAACUCCUACGGGAGGCAGCAGUGGGGGAUCUUGCGCAAUGGGCGAAAGCCUGAAGCAGCCAGGCCGCAUGAAUGAUGAAGGUCUUAGGAUUGUAAAAUUCUUUCACCGGGGACGAUAAUGACGGUACCCGGAGAAGAAGCCCCGGCUAACUUCGUG
rnacentral:rRNA from 1 species